rnacentral:rRNA from 1 species
UACGAAGGGGGCUAGCGUUGCUCGGAAUCACUGGGCGUAAAGCGCACGUAGGCGGAUUGCUAAGUCAGACGUGAAAUCCCCAGGCUCAACCUGGGAACUGCGUCUGAUACUGGCAGGCUUGAAUCCGGGAGAGGGAUGCGGAAUUCCAGGUGUAGCGGUGAAAUGCGUAGAUAUCAGGAGGAACACCAGUGGCGAAGGCGGCCUGCUGGGCUGUUGCUGACGCUGAGGCGCGACAGCGUGGGGAGCAAACAGG